CUUCUUCAAGCCUUUCGGCUCCUACCUCCAGAAUCCCAAAUUCCCAAUUCUAAAAUCUUAAAUAAUUGGCAGGAAAGAGCGAUUGCUGUGACUUCGGAGAAUAAUAUAUAGCAAUUUUGUUGGCGUGCAGGGUAAUCAUGACCAUCUCUAUGUCUUUGGACUCUUGGAAAUUGAAGUCUUUCUUCUCUGCUGCUUACAUAAACAUAAUCCGGGACAUGGAAGUCUCUCUUCUCUGCUGCUAACAUAAACUUAAUCCAUGAAACCUUACUAUAAUUGAAAAAUUGGUGGUUGAUUAAGUCUAACCCAGAGAACAGAGGGAUGAUGGAUGCUAUUGUUCAUAAUUGAUUAGAAGGUACGGAGCCCCAAUUUUUGUUUUUUCGCCUAGAGCCCCGGAAAUAUCAGGGCCGGCCCUGCUGCUUUGCUGCUCCUUUCAUCAUCGACUCGGGUUUGGAGACCAAUCAGCUGUAUUAGAAGGCCACCAAUCCCACACUCUCUCCUUCUUAUCUUCAAGUGGGUUGUAUGGGUUUCUCGCUCGAUUAGGGUUAAGUCUGAAAGAUGAUCAAGCUGGGGAUGAAAGGAAGAAGCUCAACACUUUCAAGUAUUGGGUCACAGGAAUUUUACAGGCAGCCCGAUGGUCGAGGCAAAUCCUGUGAACGACAUCACUAUUAGCAUUCUGUUAUUGAUUAGGUACUGGUUCUAGUUCUUCUUCAAGGCUCGGUCUCUCAUGAAUUUGGUAGGCUUUAGUUGAGUUCAUCACCAUCCUCUUAAGGUACUGCUGUGUGUCUGGUUUUUAUUAUUGGAUCCUUUGAGUACUGGUGGAUCCAUCAGAUCAAACUAUUAUUAAUUAGUAUGCUUUAAUUCUGGAUAUGUUUAUCAAUAAUUCAAUAUCAGUUUUUUUCGAUAGGG
rnacentral:lncRNA from 1 species